rnacentral:rRNA from 1 species
AGCUUGUUGGUGGGGUAAUGGCCUACCAAGGCGACGACGGGUAGCCGGCCUGAGAGGGCGACCGGCCACACUGGGACUGAGACACGGCCCAGACUCCUACGGGAGGCAGCAGUGGGGAAUAUUGCACAAUGGGCGAAAGCCUGAUGCAGCGACGCCGCGUGAGGGAUGACGGCCUUCGGGUUGUAAACCUCUUUCAGCAGGGAAGAAGCGAAAGUGACGGUACCUGCAGAAGAAGCGCCGGCUAACUACGUGCCAGCAGCCGCGGUAAUACGUAGGGCGCAAGCGUUGUCCGGAAUUAUUGGGCGUAAAGAGCUCGUAGGCGGCUUGUUGCGUCGGUUGUGAAAGCCCGGGGCUUAACCCCGGGUCUGCAGUCGAUACGGGCAGGCUAGAGUGUGGUAGGGGAGAUCGGAAUUCCUGGUGUAGCGGUGAAAUGCGCAGAUAUCAGGAGGAACACCGGUGGCGAAGGCGGAUCUCUGGGCCAUUACUGACGCUGAGGAGCGAAAGCGUGGGGAGCGAACAGGAUUAGAUACCCUGGUAGUCCACGCCGUAAACGUUGGGAACUAGGUGUUGGCGACAUUCCACGUCGUCGGUGCCGCAGCUAACGCAUUAAGUUCCCCGC